AUUGAACGCUGGCGGCAUGCUUUACACAUGCAAGUCGAACGGCAGCGCGGGCUUCGGCCUGGCGGCGAGUGGCGAACGGGUGAGUAAUACAUCGGAACGUGCCCAGUAGUGGGGGAUAGCUCGGCGAAAGCCGGAUUAAUACCGCAUACGACCUGAGGGUGAAAGCGGGGGAUCUUCGGACCUCGCGCUAUUGGAGCGGCCGAUGGCAGAUUAGCUAGUUGGUGGGGUAAAGGCCUACCAAGGCGACGAUCUGUAGCUGGUCUGAGAGGACGACCAGCCACACUGGGACUGAGACACGGCCCAGACUACUACGGGAGGCAGCAGUGGGGAAUUUUGGACAAUGGGCGAAAGCCUGAACCAGCAAUGCCGCGUGUGUGAUGAAGGCCUUCGGGUUGUAAAGCACUUUUGGCGGGAACGAAAAGGACUGUGCCAAUACCACGGUUCGAUGACGGUACCCGCAGAAUAAGCACCGGCUAACUACGUG
rnacentral:rRNA from 1 species